UGGGGAAUUUUGGACAAUGGGGGAAACCCUGAUCCAGCCAUCCCGCGUGUGCGAUGAAGGCCUUCGGGUUGUAAAGCACUUUUGGCAGGAAAGAAACGUCAUGGGUUAAUACCCCGUGAAACUGACGGUACCUGCAGAAUAAGCACCGGCUAACUACGUGCCACCAGCCGCGGUAAUACGUAGGGUGCAAGCGUUAAUCGGAAUUACUGGGCGUAAAGCGUGCGCAGGCGGUUCGGAAAGAAAGAUGUGAAAUCCCAGAGCUCAACUUUGGAACUGCAUUUUUAACUACCGGGCUAGAGUGUGUCAGAGGGAGGUGGAAUUCCGCGUGUAGCAGUGAAAUGCGUAGAUAUGCGGAGGAACACCGAUGGCGAAGGCAGCCUCCUGGGAUAACACUGACGCUGAUGCACGAAAGCGUGGGGAGCAAACAGG
rnacentral:rRNA from 1 species